rnacentral:rRNA from 1 species
AUUGAACGCUGGCGGCAGGCCUAUCACAUGCAAGUCGCGCGAGCGGCGGACGGGUGAGUAAUGUAUGGGGACUGCCCGAUAGAGGGGGAUAACUACUGGAAACGGUAGCUAAUACCGCAUACUAUCGGAUAACCCAUAUGGGAGUAGCUCGUAGUUGAGGUACUGGCUCACCUAGGCGACGAUCCCUAGCGGGUCUGAGAGGAUGAUGAGCCAAACUGGGAGUGAGACACGGCCCAGACUCCUAAGGAGGAAGCAGGGGGGAAUAUUGCAAAAUGGGCGCAAGCCUGAUGAAGCCAUGCCGCGUGUAGGAAGAAGGCCCUAGGGUUGUAAAGUACUUUCAGUCGGGAGGCGUUACCGACAGAAGAAGCACCGGCUAACUCCGUGCCAGCAGCCGCGGUAAUAC